rnacentral:rRNA from 1 species
GACGAACGCUGGCGGCGUGCUUAACACAUGCAAGUCGAACGGACAGACCCUGCGCUUGUGGGGUGCUCGAGUGGCGAAGGGGGGAGUAACACGUGAGUAACCUCCCCUUGACUGUGGGAUAACUUCAGGAAACUGCGGCUAAUACCGGAUAGGAGCUCCUGCAGCAUGGUGGGGAUUGGAAAGUUUCGGCUGUUGUGGCUGUACUCGCGGCUUAUCAGCUUGUUGGUCGAGUAGGGGCUUACCAAGGUUUCGACGGGUAGCCGGCAUUAGAGGUUGGCCGGCGACAAUGGUCCUGAGAGACGGAGCAGACUCCUAUGGUCCGCAACAGGCGGGAGUAUGACACAGUGGGCCGGAGCGUGAUGUGACGACGCCGCGUGCGGGAAGACCUGCUUUGGGUUGUAAACCACUUUCGCAUGUGACAAAGCGUGAGUGACGGUAACGAGUAAAGAAGCACCGGCUAACUACGUG